rnacentral:RNase_P_RNA from 1 species
AAUGCAGGUUGUUCUAUCGCUGUCUCGAUUUAUCGGGAGAGAGGAAAGUCCGGGCAACGCAGGGCAUCCCGCUUUCUAACGGAAAGGAAUUUAGGAUUGAAAACCUGAAUUACGGAUUAGUGCAACAGAAAAUAUACCACCUGGCGCAAGUUGGGAAAGGGUGAAAACGUGUGGUAAGAGCACACGAGCAUUGCAGGCGACUGCAGUGAUUUGUAAACCCCGGGAGUUGAAAGACCAAAUAGGCUAACGCAUGUAGGGCUGCCCGUCCGAUGUUAGUGGGUAGGUCGUUAGAGGUAAAUGGCAACAUUUGCAGUGGAUUAAUGAUAGAAGUUCUGAGCAAUCAGGAAACAGAACCCGGCUUACAAACCUGCAUUUUUU